UUCUUCNAUCGGAUCCGGAAUGCCAUCGCGUGAAUCCUGGCACGUAUAGNNNCUGUGUUGCAUACCCUUUUUAGCGGAAUUCGGAGUCGGAAAAGAUAAGUUUCGCCUCGUGCCUUAUGGUUCGGGGUGAACUAUGCAGCUGCACCCGUGUUCCAAGCAAAUGCCAUUUUGGCAGCCAUGGCCCAUGGGAUGCAGCUCGUGUUGGUUGGAUACGGAAUGCUUAUAUCGGGCUAGUGGGAACCUUUCCUUCAUGAGCCCGUUGUCCCUUUGUAUUUGAACGACCGAAGCRUCCGUAUUGGGACUUUCGGCAGUCGCGCAAUGGGCUGUCGUCGGUCGCCUGCGGAGCUCGAAGUCGCGGAAGAUGCUACCUGGUUGAUCCUGCCAGUAGUCAUAUGCUUGUCUCAAAGAUUAAGCCAUGCAUGUGUAAGUAUGAACUAAUUCA
rnacentral:misc_RNA from 1 species